rnacentral:lncRNA from 1 species
CUCAGAGAGAUUAAAUGUGUAUGACCUGGGUUCACACAAGCCUCCCAAACACUGAACUUGCUCUGGCAAUGUGUGAAGCAAUCUCAUCUUCUCUGUGGAUAUCCCUGGAAAGUAAACUGCCAAAAUCAGGAAACUGAGGCUUAUAUAGAGGGAAGGUCUUGCCCAAGCCGAACAUGUAAGUAUUGAAGCCAGGAUUUUUACCCUCAAAUUCAUGUUGCAAAUAUUUUCCAUUAUUCUAUAGUGCUUCCAAAUAAGAAACUAUUCAUUUGACACAAGUUGUCACUUCACUCAAACCCUCACAACCACCACAGACAUUUAUUAAGUGCCUAAAUGUAAAAAGCAUUAGGUUAGGUGCUAAGAGAAAUGCAAAAUUUAGAUGAAAAUCAGCAUCUAGCUUUACAAAAUUUAAACUCAAGUAAAGUGACAAUAUAAUUGGUUUUCUUUGUUAUCUUAUCUUUUCUUAUUUUAUACAUUUAAAAAUUGUACUCUGAGAAGAGGCUCAUAGAUUUUCC